CAAAUACUCCCUCCGUCCGGAAAUACUUGUCAUCAAAAUGGAUAAAAGGAAAUGUAUCUAGACGUAUUUUAGUUUUAGAUACAUCUAUUUUUAUCCAUUUUGAUGACAAGUAUUUGACAGAGGGAGUAGAAA
rfam:Triticum aestivum genome assembly, contig: Triticum_aestivum_CS42_TGACv1_scaffold_323824_4BL